AUCGUGGUUGUGGUCUCGGGUAACAGAAACAAGCUUGUAAUCACUAUGCAAAUUUUUUUAUAAAAACUUGUAAAGUUUAAUGAAAUGAAUAAGCACUUAACUAAAGCUAUGAUGCACAACUAAAUAAUGAGCAUAAAUACAUUAAACAAAGACAUUAAAUCCAUCAAUCAAUUUAAGACUAAGAUAACUAGGAUCCUAAAGGGGCA
rnacentral:misc_RNA from 1 species